rnacentral:misc_RNA from 1 species
UGCAAUUGCAUAAAUAAUUUUGUCAGAUUAAUGGAACUUCAAAGUUAAAAUAAUUUCACCAAAACAUAAUUUGUCAACACCAAAAUAUGCAACAUGCCAAGGGUUCAUUCUUCCCCAAGAGCAUAAUUUAAAUCGAAGGCAAGACUUUUGCAAGAUGGUUAAGCACAAAAUAUUACUACUAGAAAGUUCAAUUACACAAAAAGUGGGAGGAGUUUAAGAAACUAUGGGAAUAAAAUGAGAGAUACUCUAGGUAUUACUUGAUCAGGGUAGUUUUUAUUGGACAUAAAUG